GUCCUUUUUGCUAGAUGAUCUCUUGACAUCCUGCUGGUAACUGUUCAUGUUGAAGUCAUGCCAAGCUGCUCUCCUGCCCAUCUGCCUCCACUACAUUGGGACUGUACACCAGGCCAGUGAUCUCCUGCACCGGCUUCUGCCUCCCUGGACUGCUUCCUAGCAGCGUUCUCCUGCCGAGAGCCGGCACACCGAUAUUUCAGCCGCACCUCUCCUGCAACCCCGGGUUACACCUCAAGUGGUCCAGUCAACACAGCGUCCCCAGCUGCCCGAGAUCGGCUGCAGCGUCCAACUCUGUCUACUCCUAAUUUCUAGAUUAAUUAAAUCCUUUACC